rnacentral:rRNA from 1 species
UUGAACGCUGGCGGCAUGCUUUACACAUGCAAGUCGAACGGUAACAGGUCUUCGGAUGCUGACGAGUGGCGAACGGGUGAGUAAUGCAUCGGAACGUGCCCAGUCGUGGGGGAUAACGCAGCGAAAGCUGUGCUAAUACCGCAUACGAUCUAUGGAUGAAAGCGGGGGAUCGCAAGACCUCGCGCGAUUGGAGCGGCCGAUGUCAGAUUAGCUGGUUGGUGGGGUAAAGGCCUACCAAGGCGACGAUCCGUAGCUGGUCUGAGAGGAUGAUCAGCCACACUGGGACUGAGACACGGCCCAGACUCCUACGGGAGGCAGCAGUGGGGAAUUUUGGACAAUGGGCGCAAGCCUGAUCCAGCCAUGCCGCGUGAGUGAAGAAGGCCUUCGGGUUGUAAAGCUCUUUCAGACGGAAAGAAAUCGGGCGGGUGAAUAGCCUGCCUGGAUGACGGUACUGUCAGAAGAAGCACCGGCUAACUACGU